GCAGGCUGCAACUCGCCUGCAUGAAGUUGGAAUUGCUAGUAAUCGCGAAUCAGAAUGUCGCGGUAAAUACGUUCCCGGGCCUUGUACACACCGCCCGUCACACCAUGAGAGCCGAUAACACCCGAAGCCUGUAGUCUAACCAUAAGGGGGACGCAGUCGAAGGUGGGAUUGAUAAUUAGGGUGAAGUCGUAACAAGGUACC
rnacentral:rRNA from 1 species